UCGGCCCGGAGCUGCGCCUGGCUGGGGCAGCCAGCGCCUGCCCGCCGCGGGGCUGCAGCCUGGGCUCGGCCCGCCCGGCUCCGCGGCGGCGGCUCCCGCUGGGGGAGCCCUCCUCAGGGAAGGAGGGAGCGGGGUCCUCCCUCCACGCCCCGCAGCCCCGGGACGGCGAGAGCAGGCAGGGGCCGGCCCUGGUCCUAGCCCGGAGCCGAGGGCCGCGGCAGCCGGUGGGGCCGGGCAGCGCUCGCCUCCCGGCGCGGCCGCCUCCUGGCCCCGAGCCCGCCCCGCCGCAGGGCCCCGGGGCCGCAGGGCCGCUCGGUGGCCGCUGCUCGGCGUGUCCCGCUGCGCCGUGCCCCUCGGUCUUCUUCCGCGGGAAAACCUCUCCCGUCUUCUUUUUCCCCCCCGCCCCCGUAGGGAAGUGGCCAGCGGGAUCUGUGGGGGAGCAGCUCCCGGGCCCGAUGCUGCUGCCGGCCUGGGAGAUGGGUCUGUAUGGGUUCCUUACUGUGGGCUCCCAUCUCUACGCCUUCUACGAAGCGCACCAAGUGUCUCAAAAGUAUGAAGCUGCAAUGGACAUACAGUUUGGGCUGGAACCAGGGCCUCUCUUUCAGGGCCUCAAAAAGGAUCCCAUGGACUUUGAGUGGAGCUACUGGAUUGAAUGGGGAAGGGAGCGUAUUCUGUGGCUCCUGGCUGGUCAUCUGCUGGUAUCGCAGGUGUCUAGGCUCUUGGUGGAGAAGUAUAAGCCAUGGUGCUUGAUGAUUUAUGGAAUGGCUGCCUGCUGGUUGUUACUUGGAAUCAAGGGCUUUGCUGUCAUUUUGUUACAUGCAACUAUUUCAUUUGCUGUGGCUCAGUUUCAGCUGUCACUCCUGACAUGGUUGUGCUCCCUUAUCCUCCUAUCCACGCUACGCAUACCAGCUGUGGAAGAAGCCAAGAGAAAGUGGUACGACACAGAAAAUGAGUAUUAUCUGCUGCUCUUCACUGUGUCUGUCCGCUGUCUUUUCUGCACUAGCUUCAGCUUGGAGUACUGCUGGCAUGGACCUGCCCAGAAGUCAUUCCACUCAUUCCUGUGGAUGCUGGCAUACGUGUUUUAUUAUCCCAUGUUCCAUAACGGACCCCUUAUGAAUUUUGAUGAAUUCAGUAAACAGAUGAGGAAAAAAGAAGCCUUCAGUCUGAAGACCAAUCUCAGCAUCUUAAUCGUGGGCCUGAUUCGUAUUUUCUUUUGGUGGUGCCUGGCUGAGCUGAUGAUUCACCUCAUGUAUAUCCAUGCUCUCUACAGCAGUGGUCAACCUUUGGAAGCUGCAUCAUACUGGGCCUUGGGUGGCCUGGCUUUAGCUCAGGUACUGUUUUUUUAUGUGAAAUACCUGGUUUUGUAUGGUGUUCCUGCCCUCCUCCUUCAAAUGGAUGGACUCAAACCUCCAGCUCUGCCUUGUUGUGUGAGCCUGAUGCACAGUUUCACUAAAAUGUGGAGAACUUUUGAUGUUGGGCUUCAUCGCUUUCUGGUCAGGUACAUAUAUGUUCCAAUGGGAGGAUCUCAGUCCAGUCUGUUGGGAAUGCUCUUUUCCACGGCCCUCACUUUUGCCUUUGUAAGCUAUUGGCACGGAGGACAGAGUUAUCUGUGGUACUGGGGUGCACUUAACUGGCUUGGAGUCAUUGUGGAAAAUGGUGUCAAGAGGAUACUUUCUAUUUCACUUAUUCAAGAUUUAAUUGAGCGUUUUUUCUCACCAAGAAUUUGUCGCCGACUUCAUGCUGUCCUAGCAUCUUUUAGCACUUCAUUGUUGAUUUUAUCAAAUCUAAUAUUUCUUGGAGGAAUUCACGUUGGAAAAAUCUACUGGAACAGGAUCUUUGUGGAAGGCUGGCCGUGGGCAACACUGACUGUUCUCGGAUUCCUGUACUGCUAUUCUCACGUUGGAAUUGAAUGGGAGCAGACGUACGCUGUGAAUUAGGAGUGAUGCAAAACGAUUUUUUAAGACACAUUUGAUGGCUUUUCUACACUGGAUAUCCUAGCUGCAGAAGGAUGCACCAGACCCAAGGAUUUGGUCAUCGGGAUCCCUGCCCCGCUCUGCUGCCAGCCGCGCUUCCUUCUGCUGCCUGAACCUCUGGAACAGCCGGCGGACCGGGUGGUCUGGGGGAAACUCAGUCUGCAGUGAGCUCAAUAGAAAAUGGACAAAGCAGCAUGAUCCUUAGAACAGCAAGAAUAGCAGUGACUCACUGGGAAGGGAGAAUCAAUACAAUGCUCCAGGCUAAUGGCUCCCCACCCACGGGCAGGCCCCUGCUCCAAGGGAAGGAGCAGUGCCAGCCCAGCAUUCCCUGCUGGAGCCCGGUGCUGUCAGGCAGGGUCUCGGGGUCACUCCCGCAGUGGGCUGAGGCUCGCUCCAGUGGCACAAAGCCCCAGCAAACCCAGGCAACUCUAAGCCAGCUCAAUUUGUCUCUGAAAACGUCUGUGCUCCCAAGCCCUUCCUCUCCUGGAGUUUGGAUGUUUGGUGCUGGUGUGGGCAUCCAGGUCCUGCACGGGGCAGUGCCAGGUGGUCACACAGUCAAUGGGGCACAUGUCAUUUUGUGCAGGAGCAUGUUCAGGAGCCAUUUCAAUCUGAUCCUUGGAUCUGGGCUGUGUGUUUUCCUUAAAUGCUCAGAAGGGGUGUGCGACUGGGUGGGUGGUGCCACAGUCACCCUCACAGGGGUCACCAAGGAAGACAUGUGGGUGCUUGAAAGAGCCAGAGCCCAAGCUGCUUCGUAAGAUCUCUGCCUAGUCCUACCCCAGCUCCAGGCAGCCCACCUUGUCUGGUAAGCACAGGAGUACCUCUCACUAUUUAAUGACUGGGUUUUGUAACAUAAAUGGGUGAGCUAUGGGACAGAAGCUGCCCCUGCUACACCAUACAGAUGAGAGGGCAACACAGAAAGUCUUCAGCAAUAAACUAUUAAGAACCUAGCCCAGCCCACUUGUACUAGCCAUUGCACCUCAUGCGGCCAGGACCACAGUAACUGUGCUGAAGAGACAACCAAAUUUAUCAACAAACAAAAAAGGUGAGCAGUGAGGGACAUGCUGGCAGUAGUGCCCAUCUCCCCACAGCCCCAGUGCUUUGCUGUUGCACUGUCUGGGGGAGCCCUGCUGAAGCUAAGCAAACCACCAGCUGGGGCAGCUGCCACCAGGGUGAACACCUGACCGUACCUCCACUCCUCUGCCUUCAGGAGAUCAGGCAGCACCAGGAACAGGAACAUACAUGGAGGGAGCACUGACAUAAAUCCUGCCUUUGCCAUGGGGAACUGCUACCACACUAAGGACACCCCUAAUUUUCAGUUUCCACGUGAGGUCUUACGUGAGCUGCAACCAACUACACCACAGCAGCAAUCACCUGCCUGAAUACAGAAAUGCAAACCUCAGCUCUCCCAUCCUGUUCACUGUCUUUUAUAUGUGUGUAUAUAUAUAUGUGACAAGCUGCACUCAUGCAGUGCAAAUCAAACCUGCGCACAUUUGCCAGAGGACACAGCCUCCAACUUGUGGGAUGGCUUCUUUUAACUAACUCCUGAGGCACUGGAUAAAUACCUGUCAGCAACUUGUCUUUGAGAAGCACAGGCAAAGAGCUGUCAUGGGCCUCCUUUUUUGCAAGAUCCCCAAUGCCAUAUUUUCUCAAGACAGCUCCAUAUUUAUGUAUUGAGCAAAAAGUGUUACAAGUAUGCAAAGCUCAGCAGUAACCGAACAGGCUUGACAUAAAUACAUUUGGGUUUGUUUUUUUUUGUUGCUGUCUUUUUUAAGAUUAAAUGCAAGUCCUUAAAAAUACAAAUAACUGUUUUAAAUGGACUGUUUUCUUAAAGUUGUUGAGGCAAAAGCAAUUUUAAGUUGUUAAACAUCUUCAGCAGCAUCAAGGUAUUGAGAAAACGGGGACAUUAUACUGACAUAUGUAUACCUGCUCCCACAAGUAGUUAAGAGUACAAAGGGAAAGAAAAUGGGUUUCAUUUCUUCUAAGGAAGAGAAGUCUGGACCUACACAGCAAUUUUCACGUGGAAAAUUUUGUGGGAUACAAAUACAGAUCUUAGUAAAAUUAAACCCCAAAAUACAAUGUUAAAGAACCUAAGACUGGUUUUAGAACAGCUCCUCUUUCUCUCUCCAAGCAUUUUUUUUUUGUCUGGGAAGGGACAGUGUUUUAUACCCUCAUAAUCUCUUAGUCCAUAUGUUAUAUGCCACACAAACACAGGGGACCUCUACUUUGCAAGCUUUGUAGUUCUCCAUAUCAUCAUCCUCUUCAAGACUUAAGCACACAGAAAAAAAUCUAUUGAGAGCAUUUUAGCAGUAUGUGAAGCCCAAAAUAUGGACAAAGAACCUGAAUGGAGAUUAAAUAACAAGAACAGCAGGCCUAAAAGUGCAUACUUCACACAUCCAAUCUCAAGUCUCAUUUCGUAAUUCCACUUUUAUUAAAAAGGUGCUGAAUCUUGUAGCUCCACUGGAAAGCCUCCCAAGCUGCCAGAAAUGUGAGUAUUGUGGGAAUAUCAGCCUAGAUUUGCCAGAAACUUAAAAAAAUAGCCAUGUUAGGCACAUAUUACUGCAAUGAUAUUAACAUGUAACUAAGGAAAUUUUUUUUUCAACAAUGGACUUGGAGAAUCGGAGACAUGGGCUGACAUGUCCUGGUGCUCUCCUGCACCCAUACAUCCCUCUGACCUGAGACAGCAACACUCCAUGCCCACAUUCCUGCCUGUGCAUGAGCCAUGUUCGAGGAAGGGAGACAGAGUUACACCCAGCAAGUUUGCCUUUCUUCAGUAUUAACUAGUUGAGAAGGUGAAGUCUUUAGUAAGUCUUGGGGAAAGAAUCUGCCUCUUUUUAAUUUUCAAAGGAUUUUCAAGUUGCAUUUGUAGAAUCAAUGUUUUCAGAGAUUAAGCUCAAGAUUCCUCCCUGCAGUAUUAAAAACAUUAGGUGGACAUAAAUACUUGAAAUACCUGAUUUGGUAGUCAAAAGUGGAGUGCCCAGCAACUGUUACUUGGAUUUUCCUGUGCUCAGCCCUGAAAGCCAAGUGCCAUUUAAAUAAUGCCACAUGGACAUGUUUCACGAAUAUGACUUCCAUAAUUUUUUUAUCACAAGUCCAGAACCAACUGCAAUGUGACGUUCAGCAUAGGAUUGCUCUGAAGAAGCACUUCCUAAAGGGAAUCUUGUUACAACUAGAUUGCAUCUUUUAGAAAAACAUAAUUUGACAGCAAUAAAGAAUCCACCAUCACAUCUUGAUAAAAGAUUCCUGCAAUUUUCGCUUCAAGACUGAGUGUGUCUGACAUCAAUGACAUUUCUGUUCCUUGCUCACUCAGACUCUUAAAAAUUUGCUUUUAGACACUGAUCCUAGAGUCUUACGUUUAAAAAUCUCUGCAGAAGUAUUACACCCAGUCAGUUACUACUGUGAAGCAUUUAGACAAUAGCUUUACUGAUACGAAACAGGUGAAGUUCACACCUUUACAAUUUUCAAUUUAAGCUUUCCAGUUUUAACUCUUUGGAAAUGUUUGAAUUAUUUCCUAACUUUCAGCAUCUUUAUUUGGCAGUACUCAGUGCUUAAAUUCUCACUCUUGCCCAAAGCUAGAAUAUGUAGUUAAUAUAGUUCAAUCACAGAAUCACAGAAAUGUCAGAGUUGGAAGGAACCUCUAGAGAUCAUCUAGUCCAACUGUCCUGCUAAAGCAGGAUCCCCUAGAGCACAUCACUCAGGACUGCAUCCAGGUGGGUCUUAAGUAUCUCCAGAGAAGGGGACUCCACAACCUCCCUGGGCAGCCUGUCCCAGUGCUCUGUCAUCCUCAUAAUAAAGAAGUUUUUUCACAUAUUUCAUUGGAACUUCCUGUGCUCCAGCUUGUGCCCAUUGCCCCUCAUUUUAUCACUGGGAACUACUGAAUAGAGUCUGGCUCCAUCCUCCUUGCACCCACCCUUGGGAUACUUGUAGGCAUAAAUAUGGUCUCCCCUCAGCCUUCUCUUCUGCAGGCUAAAGAGUUCCAGCUCUCUCAGCCUUUCCUCAUAAGGGAGAUGCUCCAAACUUCCAACCAUCUUUGUUGCAAAGUUCCUUUGAAAAAGCCAGGUAAAACAACUAAUCCUAGCAUGAGACUGUCAGCUGUUUCCCUCUACCAGCCCACUACUACUCACUUCCCUUCCCAUCUCACUACUUGCUGAUGUUUCUCUACAACUACCUAGCAUAGCUCCAGAUUGUAUUUUCAGAGCCAGAAAAAGAGGGCAACAGACACAGAGGUACAUGUCUUGUUUCAUGAAGCAAACCUAUGCAAAGUUGGCAAUGGAAAUUGAAGACAGCCUUGCAACAAGAUUAACAGGCUGACAUGCUCAACAACAGCCCUAUCUCAUCUCACCAGAGGCAAAUAUAGAUGCAGUAAUUUAAGUGCUUGCUUCCUUCACACAAAGAUGGGGGUGAGGGCGUGAAGAAUAUGACAGGGGUGUAUAAAAUCAGACAUGGUAUGAACAGGGGUAGGCAGGGAUUGACUAUACAGUGUCUUAUCCAAUAUGAAAACUACAGCAUCACAUGACAGCAGGAGGAGGCACAUGCAAAGCAAAGACAAGUUCAUGGUUCUUCAUCUGAAUGUAUUUGACAUGUGAAAGAUGUUAAUAAAGGAUGUUCUGAAUGCAAAAAAGUCUGCAUGUGUUCAACACCAGGCAAAUACUCCAUAGGGAAAGCCACUGAGGGCUACCAAACAGACAAAACUGGUAUCCUGCUCAGGAGUUAUAAAUAGUUGGAAGCUGCAAACACAUUUGUAGUAACUGGCACAUAGGAAAGUUUUGUUCUUAUUGCCUCCUUAGGCAUCAUCCCUAGGCAACCCUAAAUAAUUGCAUAGGCCAAAUCUGGAACUGCUGCUUCACUCACUUACUGAGGAAACAUUCCCAAUACAGGUGAUAGAAGAAGUGCCAGAGGGAAAAACAUCAGAAGAAAAUACAACAAAGGCUUGAAUACCUGAGCCUUAAGUAUCUGAGCAGGCUGUUCACCUCUUUCAGAUGAUGGUUUCUUCUCAUUGUGUCCUUCACUUGCAUAUAGGGAUGGGCAGGACCAACAAGCUGUUAGUGUGCAGUACUGUACAGAUUUGACAUUGCUUUGGAAUUUGCCUGGGUCCAAAUAAAACAACUAAAACUGGCAUGUUGUUUGGGGAAUUAAGAAGUCCACUGUCUCAUCACUCUUGUGAUGAGCAGCCCACUGAGGGCUUUCACCAUCUCUGAAGUGCUGGUAGCCCACAAAACACCCCAGAACGAUGCUGCCUGCCGAAACACAGCAAGUCAGGUUCUUCAGCACUCUGCACACUCCCAGGAAGGUAACCAACAGAAGGCUGAGGCAGAUGCAAUGCAUUAGCAGCCAUAUUUUGGUCUUGCUGCUACUUCUUUGUAAAAGCAACCACUGUGCCAAUACUGCAUUAGACAGUCUUAAAGAUCAGGUGAUGCUUUAUUUAAUACACGUUAUUAAUAUAUUGAAAACCUUACCCGGCUGUGCUGAAAAAGACCUGUGUGGAUCUUUUGGUCUUAUGCAAAAAUAUCCAAAUUUCUUUUAAACUUUGACUUGUAAGAACUGAUCCAAGACCCACAGCAAUGGAUAGAAAUAUGGAUUUCAUCAUAUUUUGAAUCAGACUGCCAUCAUGGAGCUACAAUUAUGAGGCUCCUAGCCACAAAGCUGUUGCUAUUAUUAGCUCCACAACCUUCCCUUCUUUCCACCUCUAUAGCUUGCACAAAUCCUGCAAGAUUUGGCAGGUCUUCCCCAGCAUUAACAGCAGCAUUUUUCUCUUGUGCCUAAUAAUUCUCUUUCAUGGAUACAGAAACAUUCACAAAGUUGGAAGUGCCAGAUAUAAACAAGUAAAAGCUUUGAAUUACUUCAUAUGGUGCUCACAGAAAAUGAACUUAAGUGUGAGGAAAACAAUAAAAAAAAGGCAUUUAUUAGUACAUAGUCCAUCUAGCAUAUGCCAAGAGCUGAUGAAAAUAUCUUCAGGCUGAUGUUAGUGCAAUGAA